ACUGUACACGGAAAAACAAUCGGGAAAUUAGUACUCUUUUUUUUUAACAGCAGGGAAAUUAGUACUCUAUAUUACUUACAAGGUGUUGAGGUGAUGAGCAAGCAAAAUCUCAAAUCUAUCUAUCUAUUUUUUUUUAACAGCAGGGUUUUAACAGUAGAUUUUAUUUGUGGCAAGCAAAAUCUCAAAUCUAUCUAUUGUAUAAUUAAAAUUAAAAACAUGGCUAAAGUAUCAGAUCCAUUAGAACUACGGAGUAGAUUUAACAGUCAAGAUUUAAUAGAUGAACAUAAACUUCAAUGUUCUAAAUUCUAAUCAACUACAAAUUGGUUGACUCCAACCCGUGGGGCCGACUGGCCGUGCGUCCAAAGGACUCCAAGGACUCAAUGAGUCUUGAUUUCACUCUGCUAAUCAAUGAUAUUAAUCACCAAUUUGCUAAUCAUGUUUCUAGUCUUCUUCUUUUUAGAAACAAUGGGCGCCCCCAUCGAUUUCCCAUAA
rnacentral:lncRNA from 1 species